UACGGAGGGGGCAAGCGUUACUCGGAAUUAUUGGGCGUAAAGGGCGCGUAGGCGGUCUUGUGCGUCGGAGGUGAAAUCCCCAGGCUUAACUUGGGGCCUGCCUCCGAAACGGCGAGACUUGAGUCCGGGAGAGGGGAGCAGAAUUCCCAGUGUAGCGGUGAAAUGCGUAGAUACUGGGAGGAAUACCAGUGGCGAAGGCGGCUCCCUGGACCGGUACUGACGCUGAGGCGCGAAAGCGUGGGUAGCAAACAGG
rnacentral:rRNA from 1 species